CACGUAGGGCGCGAGCGUUGUCCGGAAUUAUUGGGCGUAAAGAGCUCGUAGGCGGCCUGUUGCGUCCGCUGUGAAAGCCCGGGGCUUAACCCCCGGGUCGGCAGUGGAUACGGGCAGGCUAGAGGUAGGUAGGGGAGAAUGGAAUUCCCGGUGUAGCGGUGAAAUGCGCAGAUAUCGGGAGGAACACCGGUGGCGAAGGCGGUUCUCUGGGCCUUACCUGACGCUGAGGAGCGAAAGCGUGGGGAGCAACGG
rnacentral:rRNA from 1 species